rnacentral:tRNA from 1 species
GGAGGAUUAGCUCAGCUGGUUAGAGCAACCGGCUCAUAACCGGUCGGCCCUGGGUUCAAGUCCCAGAGACUCCA